AACACCUGUAGGUGGGUUGAGUCUGUGUGCCACUAUGACAGAAUGCUAACCUAGAUCAAUGCGGUCUGUUCAUGAACAUUCCUGCUUCUUACACGUCUGAGCAAUUUUUAACUGACCCUGUGCCCCUAGCGUCUCUUCUGCCUUGUGCCCUUUUCUCUAAUUCGCCUGGCUGGAGCCUCAUGGGAUGGAUGGCAGGCGCCACAGUCCUCUCAGAGUAAAACUACAGCUUUAAAUCACCAAAUGGGCUCCACCUUGUCUUAAAGGAACCAGUGAAUGCUGAUACAUCACUUGCAAAAUGAGUUGCGAAAUCCAGUCACUUGAAAUGCAUGAAACUUGGACACAUUGACACCAAAAGAAAAAAUAACAAGAAGGAAUGUGCAAAGAGAACCAAGUUAAAUUCAAGAACUCUGGCCCAGCAUAAAAGUGCACAGCUUUCCUGGGUAUCCAGUGUGUCCGCUCAUAUUUUAGUGGAUUCGAAGUGGUCCAGACCCUCCGCUGAGCUCCUUCGGUGAAGACAGCACUUGGACAACAGUCAUAGCCAAUGGAGGCGAUGGAGCCGGAAUAACAACUUUCUCUAUUAAAUGGUCAUUAUGAAACAAAAAGGAGGCAUCACUCUUUAACAUGGUCCAGAUGAUAGCAGCAUCUCCCCUGCUGGGCUGUUCUGUCGUUCUGCUGGAUAUAAUUCAAUGAUCUGAUCAGUACAAUAACAAUGAUGUGCUCUAUUAUUACUGCUGCCUUUGCCAGUCUGCGGGGGCCAGUUUGUGAGACCCCCUCUACUCUCACUUUCAUUCACACUCACUCUUUUUGUCUUUCCUCCAUAAAAGCAUUAACAUCUGUUAAACAGGUUGUGUGGGUGAGGAUGGAGAGAUG
ensembl:lncRNA